UGGGUUCAUUAUAAUUUUAAACAAUAAUAAGAUACAGCAUAUAAUGAAUUGAAAUAUCUAUUUUAUUAAUUAACAAUAUCAAGUAUAUGAGUUUGAAAGAUAAAAGAUAGAAAAAUAUCCUAUCACAUCCCAUAUGCGAUUGGCUUGUAGGGUAUAAUUCUUUCAAACAUAAGUCAAUGCCAAUUCUAGCAAAAGUCAACCCCAAAAUGACCAC
rnacentral:lncRNA from 1 species